rnacentral:rRNA from 1 species
GAUGAACGCUGGCGGCGUGCCUAAUACAUGCAAGUAGAACGCUGAAGGAGGAGCUUGCUCUUCUGGAUGAGUUGCGAACGGGGGAGUAACGCGUAGGUAACCUGCCUGGUAGCGGGGGAUAACUAUUGGAAACGAUAGCUAAUACCGCAUGACAACAGUUAUUGCAUGAUAACUGUUUAAAAGGGGCAACUGUUCCACUACCAGAUGGACCUGCGUUGUAUUAGCUAGUUGGUGAGGUAACGGCUCACCAAGGCGACGAUACAUAGCCGACCUGAGAGGGUGAUCGGCCACACUGGGACUGAGACACGGCCCAGACUCCUACGGGAGGCAGCAGUAAGGGAUCUUCGGCAAUGGACGGAAGUCUGACCGGACAACGCCGCGUGAGUGAAGAAAGUUUUCGGAUCGUAAAGCUCUGUUGUAAGGGAAGAACGAGUGUGAGAGUGGAAAGUUCACACUGUGACGGUAUCUUACCAGAAAGGGACGGCUAACUACGUG